rnacentral:lncRNA from 1 species
GGGAAAUUGACAUGGGGUGAAAUAAACUUCGGCAUGCCCCAGUACGGCCAGUUUGCUGGACCAAUGCAAAGGCCUUCAUGUGAGAGUCCUGGCUCAGUGCCUCCUCCCCGCUGGCUGCCCUUAAGGUGCAGGUUACAGUGGGGGUUGUCUGCUCUGCAAGGAUAACACACAGAUCUUUUGAAAUCCUGGGUUUGGAGCAAAGUCGAGAUACAUGAUUUAGGAAUUUGGUAACCCCACGCCUCUGUCUUGCUUGGGAAGUGUUAACACAGAGGUUGCUCCGUGUGCUCCAACAAUUGGAAUGGCUGCCUCCUGUGAAGCUCAGGUUUGUCAGCGGCAACUAACUCAGGAGCAUCAAGGUGAUGGGAUGAUAUCCAGGCACUGCCUUUGGUGAGAGCUCUCGUUGGGUUCCUCUAACUUGCUGGGCCAGCGUGUAAGAUUGGACUUCCUUGAGGUUUCCUCCAGAGAUGGCAAACACACUGCUGGUUGUAGCCUUAGCCCCUCUGACUUGAUGAUCUUGAAAACACAAGGUUCUCUGCACCUUCAGUUUAGGAUCAGCAGAAGUGUCCAACUGGCUCAAGACCAGUUUGUCCAGUGCAGUACCCUGCUCCUGACAGGAGCCAGCACCACGCCACAGGUGUUGAAGAAGACAGAACAAGUCGUGCAGUGGCCAGAGACAGGUAUUGUCUCCCAUGUUAUAUGCUUGUUAUUUGGAGCCAGAUACUGGUUUAAGCCCUGGAGCAUGAAAUUUAACAUCUCUUUUACGGAGCACACCACAAACUGGCAGAAAGAAAGGGUAACAGCAGAAAGUUCCACAUGAUACCUGAACUCCUCACCACUAUUGCUGAACUGGGGCACUCAACACCACUGAGAAGUGAGGAAAAACAACCCAAACUGCACAGGAGAGAAAACUGAAAUGUGGGAGCUGAGGCUCAGGGUCUAUUCUGUUGCAGAUUUUCCAGAAGGACUGAGCACACGCACACACAAGUCCUUCACCUUCUGUUGCUUUCCUAUUUCUCGUUCAGC